rnacentral:lncRNA from 1 species
UUUCUUUCCCUCUUUCUCCCCUUCACUAUCUUUAACCUUUUGCCUUCAUUUCCCCUAUUACAUUCCAUUAGAAAAUAAAUUACAACUACCAACAAUAAAUUUUGAUCCAAAUGCCUUUGUAAGGUAAUAGAUACAAUCUUUAAAACUUUAUUUUAGUCCUUAUCUUUAUUGUAUGUAAAAUUUAGAUUUAUCUCAAUCUACCCCUCUUUAUUGAGCUUGUUCAGGCUGCAAAAACUUUGGAUUUGAUGCAUGGGGACUUGUAAGCAUCUAUAUAGUAUAGUACAUGUACUAUAUAAUAGGGGUGUCAGCACCAUAGAGCAUUAAAAUGUGGGGAGCAGAAGUGGCGCAAUAAGGAAAAUGAUUGAAUAGAGUCGACGAGUAUAGCAAAGUUAUUGGGAUUGAAAAGAGAGAUUAAGCAUGCAUGGGUUAAGUUGGGUGACUCAUUGUUAAUUUGUUUUCGGCACAAGCCAAUUAGCAAGAGCAUGUGUCACUAUCAAACCUCAUUUGUAGGAGGAAAAUGGGGAAUAUCAUAUAUGUAAUUUUUUUUAAUAUAAUCGAUGU